rnacentral:snRNA from 1 species
GUGCUUCCUUCGGCAGUACACAUGCUAAGAUUGGAACAAUACAGAGAAGAUUAGCCCUUGUGCUAACACACACACACAAACCGUGAAGCGGUCCAUUUUUUU